UUUCCUCCUCCAACAAUUGACAAUUGAUGCCACUGCUCGACAUCGUCUCCUAUUUCAAACCCUAAAGUAUCAAUUUUCUUUCUGAUUCUUGUCUAACAACUUCAGUUCUUGUAAUAACAACUUCAACACAGAUUGAGGCUUCGAAAAUCUCUACUGAGGAUAUCUGCAAGUGAGGUAUUCUUUAGAACGAUACAAGAAGAUGAAGCCGAUGGCGAUUCAAGCCGAUUGGAUCAUGUGAAACCUUGAUGGAAGGUAGAAUAAGAAAGAGAGGGGAAGAUGGAGGAAUAGAGAGAGACAACGAGAUAUUUUCUAGAGUUGUUAACUCAAUCGUCGUGGUCGAAUCGAUCAAAUGCUAGGUAUAUUUUUUUAUUUUGGUAAGACUUAAUUUGACAGCUUUGUUUUUCUCAAUUCGUAUAUCUUUCAUUUGCAUUGUGAUAGAGCGAGCGAGAAUAUAAAAGUUUAGGAUAAAGCUUUCUAAUGUAGCAAAGUGAUGAAUACUUCCUUCUUGGCCAUUAGCAAUUAAUUUUCAUAUCAUAAAUAGUUUUGAUUAUACAGUAGUUGUUGUUAAUGGAAUCAAACAAUAGUUAAAGCCAUUUUGUUAUGAUUUGUCAUCUGUGCAUAUACAUUUGCUAUUUAAAAAGCCUAUUUAAAAAGCCAUAACUUUUGAAAGCUUCACAUUCUAUGAUACAAUUCUCAAAUUGCAACACGAACGACAAUAAUAUCCAUAAAUUUCACAAGCAGAAGGUAACUCAUUUGACCUGCAAAAGUCAAAUACACGCAUCUAGGGACAAAAAGAACUUGACAUCCAACAUUAAGACAACUAAAAUUAUUUUAAUUCAAGUUCCCAUACUGCUAUAGUUGACCAAACUAUUGAUUUGUUUCAUAACAAGAUUCAAUUAACCCAUUAUUUAAACUAAGUUUGGUUUGUGUCACUCUGCACUUACCUUGGGAUGUGCUCUUGAUUGAUCUCGGACGUGUACUACAUAGUUGCAUAGUAGCAUGCAUCUUUCAUCGUAAUUACAGAUAAAAAUGAAAUAUAAUGCAUAGAAAAAUAACUAUAACUAUUCAUGUCUACCUGAAAAAUUUGAUUAUGCAUAACAUGCAUCACAAACUGAUUAUAUCAUUGACUUACAUGGAUGACAAUGCUGACCCGCAUAGAACAAACAAAGGUGCUCCUGAACUGGUAAGUGCAAUCUUUUAUGUUAAAUUUGAAUAGAUUUACCUGACCCUUUGUUGAUGCAAGGAAAGUUAACGCGAUGAUUGAUGAAUUUGUGGAAUGUGGAUUGCAUUUUUUUGGCUAUUGCAAAACAGGAACGUAUGACAGUUCUGAGACCAGGUGAUCCAUGGUAGUUUGUUGGUUUGUUGUACUUUUAGUCGUUUAGACCCACCUAGGCAUGACAGUGCUAAGAGCAUUGCCAAGCUCUCAAUCUUGUGAAGAUGAUUACUGACAUAGGUGAUCAACUUGCUAUAGUUGUAGACGACUUGGUAUGGGAAUGAACAUGUACCCUUCUUAUUUACUGCAUAUGGGAAAGCAGCCACAUCUCGGAUGGCUAUUGGCUCUGGAUUAAUGGCCCAAGGAAUACCAAAUGAUGUCACGUCAGGUAUCAUGUAUUGGAAUACAUGUUAUCAACAUGCUAGAGUGGAUAAUCAGACAUGCGUUCUGGUGAUAUGAUGUGAGUUUUUGCUACUUUGUGAUUUCCCGAUAUCAAGCAGUCACCUCGUAAGUCGCAACCAUUCUUCUUUUAGACAAACCUUUGCGAUUCCAAAUCUCAGUAUCGGUCUGCCGGAAAUUGUUCGAGUUGCUCGGAAUUUCUCUGCUAUGAUCAGAGUUGAGGGCCUGGAGCAUAGGGAGUGCUUUAAGCAUUUAGGAUAUGAUUCACUAGCAUUUAUGGUUUGAGGGCUUGUGAUUCAUCAAUUGGAGGCAUAAGCAAGAUAUUUGACAAGAUUGAGGUAGCCAAUAGCUAGCGAAACAGAUAGGUUGUGUGGGUUUAAUAACUGGCAAAACGUGUCUAGGCGAGUUGGACCAACUCACAAACAUUUAUAUCUGUUUUUUGAGUUUGUAAUGAGUGGAUAAUGUGUCACAUGUAUGAUAUAGAAACUACAUAUUACUAGAGUAUAAUCAAAGUAUAUUCAAUGUAAAUGGAUUAAGAAGGAUCUAUGCACGGGAGUAAGCAUUUUUGUGAGAGCUGAAUUUGGAACACCCAAAUCCUUGGGUGGAGUUUUAUGAUCCAGGCAUAUGACAAGAUGGUCAUUGGGUGUAUCAAAUUUGGUGUGUUUCUCUUACUUUCACAAGCACGAGAAAUAUGAAAUUUUUACGACUCGCGAUCUAUUAUUGAUAGAUAGAUGAUAUAAACCAAUUUGCGAGUAUAAUUAGCUUUCUAUAAGACAUGUAGGGAGUGAUUAAGCAUAUGGCUUAAUCGAUGUACAUAUAGUACCUGAAGUACAUCAGUCAAUAUGGAGACUUCAUGAUAUAUGACCAAUGGGUCAACCCCUUUUUUCUUUAGCUAAGUCUUCUAUAAGACAUGUAGGGAGUGAUUAAGCAUAUGGAUUAACCAUGCCUUUUGUUAUGUUUGACAAAUUAAAAAAAUUUAUGCCCUUUUUAUUCACAUCAGUCAAUAUAGAGACUUCACGAUAUAUGACCAAUGGGUCAACCCCUUUUUUCUUUAGCUAAGUCUUCUGUAAGACAUGUAGGGACUGAUUAAGCAUAUGGAUUAACUAUGCCUUUUGUUAUGUUUGACAAAUUAAAAAAAUUUAUGCCCUUUUUAUUCACAUCAGUCAAUAUAGAGACUUCAUGAUAUAUGACCAAUGGGUCAACCCCUUUUUUCUUUAGCUAAGUCUUCUAUAAGACAUGUAGGGACUGAUUAAGCAUAUGGAUUAACCAUGCCUUUUGUUACUGUUUCAAGUAUUCAUGUUUUAUUUUUUAUUUUCAAAAAUGCUCUCCAACUUAUAGUGCCCUAAUUUGUUUUUUUUUUUUAAAUUAUUUUUGUCUUUUUUUAACUUUAGGAUGAAAUGAAUUGAAGACUAAGAUAAAAAAAAAGUGAAUGGAUUGUUGGACUGAGCUCAUAUCGUUUAAGAUUUGUUAUACUUAACAAAACACUUUGCAAGUUUAUUUAUUCUAUUAACACGAUAUGCACAUUUAAAGUGCAAACCUGUAUUUCUUUUCUCUAUCAUAAUGAACAUAUGUAAAUUUGUAAACCUUAUACAAAGAAUCUAAAUAUUUUUCAAAAUACUAAGCAAGUUAACGAGGCAACCCAUUUUUAGACUGUUUGAGUUAGCCAGUAAAAAAUACAGCUUUCUAACAUUCUUAAAUAUAAUCCUAAAAUUGUUUCUCGUGUGAUUCAUAAAAAAACAUUACUUAAGCUUUCUAACAUUCUUAAAAGUAUUUUUAUCUUAUGUAGCCAUGAGAGUAUCAUCUCAUGACCAAGUUCCAGCUUUGACAUGGCAUUGGAGGAGGGAACCGGUAAGUGAAAAUGAUGUUGCGGACUAGAACAGUGCAAGGAGAUGCUACAGGAAUCUCUGUAACUGAGAAUAGGGAAUAGUGGAAGUCUUCUUCAUCUGGUGAGAAGUAGUCUUUACAUAUUUUUAUUUGUUUUGAUCCAUUAGUUAUAGGUAAUUGUUUGAUUCUCAAUUAAGUGUUCAAUUGUACCAUCAAUUUUUACUAAGACACGGAGUGGUGCAUUAUUUGUUCAUGCUUUUACUUAUUUCUAAGCUUUUUCAUUUAUAAAUUCAAGAAAAGUAGUCAAAUACUUGAACUUGGCAUUGGAUGGUCUAACUUUCUGCAAUUAAUUAAUCGAAGAACAAAUGUCACAUUGCCAAGUUCAAGUAUUUUUGGUAAGCGAUUCUAUACUUGACUCAUGCAGGCGCUUGCGGUUUUGUAAGCGAUUCUAUACUAUUUUUGGUAUUCACAACAUGAAAUUUAUGGUUUUAGUUUUUACCAAUGUCGUUGGUAUUAUAGGGACUUGAGUUACAAUAAUUUAAGUGGGCAAAUUCCUCCGAUAAUCGGAAACUUGACGUACACCGACAAAUUGUAAGAAACUAAAAACAUGGUUUGAUUUAUGUUUUUAUACGGUUUGGAAUCUUUCGUCAAACAACAUCGUGGGUACUAUUCCGAAAGACCUGUCUCGGAUUGGUAACUUGGAUACAUUGGACCUUUUUAACAACAAAAUUAGCGGCCCGAUCCCUUUGCCGCUUGGUGAUUUGGAAUAUCUUUUGAAAUUGAAUCUGAGUCGGAAUGAGUUCUCCGGGUAUCUACCAGCCGAGUUUAGAAACUUAAGAAGUGUCAUGGACACAGAUCUUUCGUACAAUCAUCUCUUGGGUGUAGUGCCCCAGGAACUCACGCUGUAUGUUCCCACACGACUUGCAUUUUACAAUCUUGUGUAACGUUGCAAAAUGACAUUUUUCUUUGAUUAAUGCAUUGCAGAAAGUUAGAAAGUAAUAACGUUAAAAGUGUUAUUUAUAUACUUUUAUUUGUUGUAAA